UGAGAUUUGCAGGAACAAUUACCAUAGUUUCUUGUUCAGAACUAUGAAAAUGCGACCUGGACUGUGUGCAAUAAUUGUCGGUUAACGUUUGAUCGGUUGAACUUUCUGUCGGGGUAAAUAAAUGUGUUUUAUUCAAUAGAGUGGCUUACUGUCCUUUGCCAAAAUAAAGUUUCAUUAAAAUCAAAAUUUGUACAUGACAGUUUUAUGAGACAACAACUCCAAUCAAAUGCAAUCACGAACACCUGCAUGUUCUUUUAAUACAUUAUUUUUUCCAAGGCUGUUCGCCCACGAUAUUCUAUUUUCAAGAAGGAAUGGGUUACUUUUAUAACUUUUAAUAUAUUUACAUUUGACUGUAUAUUCUUUUUAGAAUCAAGCAUUUACAUUUCCGCUAAAUCAAGUACAGCUACAAAUGCAAUUUGUAUAGAUGUAUGUAUAUAAAUAGGUAUAUUACACAAUACGAUAACUUUGACCCACACCUACUUAUUAAACACUUAUUAUCUGCCUAACAUCGUACACGUUAGAUGUAUUAUUUAUUCAUAAAUAAAUUAUUAAAGUCUUUCUUUCUGAUUUUUCAGUGAAAUAUAUUAAAUUCAUUAUUAGAUAUAAUUGAAAAAGAAUCUUUUAGAAUACCAUAAGUAAAACAGGUGCGUAAAACGCCACUAAGUCGAUUUGACACGGAAAGCCCAGCAUUAUAUUAUAGCGUUAUAAAUUUUGUAACGUCAUAUACCUGUGUGUUACAUUUUUGGCAAUUCAAACAUUUACGUUGGCCGCGAAAGGGUUAAGGUCGGUGGUAAGUUUAGAAUUAUGCUCCCUCUACGCAGGGUAUUGCGCAUUACUGUCUAAAACGCCGAUGCAAAGAAUAAUGUUCAAAUUUACAGGUUACCAUGUAACGUAUUUUAUUAAAAAAUACUUUUAGUUAGAAUAAUGUUCAGAAGUAUUUAAGUUAUGUCGCCGCUUCUAAAAAAAAAGAACGUUAUUCACGUCGGAGUCAGCAUCUUACGCUGACGUCAAUUGAGACUUUGACGUAACAAUUGACCCCCCC
rnacentral:sRNA from 1 species